GACAGAGGUGCCGAGCGUUAGGCGGAAUGUCUGGGCGUAAAGCGCGCGUAGGCGGCUUUGUAAGUUAGAGGUGAAAGCCCGGGGCUCAACCCCGGAACUGCCUUUAAGACUGCAUCGCUUGAAUCCAGGAGAGGUGAGUGGAAUUCCGAGUGUAGAGGUGAAAUUCGUAGAUAUUCGGAAGAACACCAGUGGCGAAGGCGGCUCACUGGACUGGUAUUGACG
rnacentral:rRNA from 1 species